AACUGGCCCACAUCAGAGGUUCUGAGAAACCAAAGUAAUUGGGUUCAGCCUACCUACAGAGUUCACUCGGUGGUUGACUGGCCCCAUUCUCUCAUCACAAUCCAAGUUGACAUAAGAAGAGGUGUGCGAGGUUAAAAAGACUAUAAAUAUUUCAAAGAGUGCAGGAUUUAUGAGGAAAAACUAUUCCUUCCCUCUGUAAUAUCCUAAGAAAGUCACUUCCCUAGUUCCUGUGUACCUGAGAGUAUGGGAUACUGGCAUGGGAGACAGCAUAAUGUUCAUGGUUAGUGCUACAGGAAGAGAUGGCGGAGUGAGGACACAGUCAGGUGGAGGAGACUCCCAAGUAGCUGGGAUUACAGGUGCUCGCCACCAUGCCUGGGUAAUUUUUUGUGUUUUUAGUAGAGACAGGGUUUUGCCAUGUUGGCCAGGCUAGUCUCCAACUCCUGACCUCAGGUGAUCCACCUGCCUUGGCCUCUCAAAAUGUGUAGAGACAAGCUGGCUUCAUUCCCCAUUACAACAAACAACAACAGCAACAACAAAAAGUCCAAAUAUACAGCGCUGAGUUCUUCACCAGCAACAACCCAGAGCUCAAGUAUGAGGAUGAGCCAGUUUCCGGGGAUGUGGAGAAGUGGAAAAACUGAGCAGAUGAUGGACAACUGACAUUCACAAGGAUGACACCCCUCCAACUAAUUCUGCCCAGGCACCCCCUGUGAGGAAAAUCUCCCUUCAACUCAUGGUUUCUACGCUGGAAAAAGUAAAAUUGAGGUUGUCAACAAAUUUCCCCAUUUUCUUGGGUUCUCCAGCAGGAGAACUGUCCUUGCCUUAACCCAUGAGGAGCAUCAUGACUGCCUGAAGGGAAAACUAUCUCUGAGGACAGGCAGAAACAAACAAAGUAGGCAGGA
rnacentral:lncRNA from 1 species